rnacentral:rRNA from 1 species
GAUGAACGCUAGCGACAGGCUUAACACAUGCAAGUCGAGGGGCAGCGGGGAGUAGCAAUACUCCCGCCGGCGACCGGCGCACGGGUGAGUAACACGUAUGAAACCUGCCCGUAGCAGGGGGAUAAGCGGAAGAAAUUCCGUCUAAUACCGCGUAACAACCCAUGGAGGCAUCUCCGUGGGUUUAAAGGAAGCGAUUCCGGCUACGGAUGGUCAUGCGUCGCAUUAGCUAGUUGGCGGGGUAACGGCCCACCAAGGCGACGAUGCGUAGGGGUUCUGAGAGGAAGGUCCCCCACACUGGUACUGAGACACGGACCAG